GUUAUGAUGUUGCAAAUGAUGAUUAAAAUUGACCAGGUCGAUUAAUAUAUACAAGAAGACAGAAACUUAGCUCAUUUAUUAACUCGGAAAAUGAAGAUGAUUAAGUUGGAGAUAAAGUAGAAUCGUUAACUACAAUGACAGUCAUUUUAGAAACUUGAAAACCAUAAAAAGGGUAAAGAUUUUUAUUUAUUUUUUCAUUGGCAGAG
rnacentral:lncRNA from 1 species